rnacentral:rRNA from 1 species
AGCGAACGCUGGCGGCAGGCUUAACACAUGCAAGUCGAACGGGCACUUCGGUGUCAGUGGCAGACGGGUGAGUAACGCGUGGGAACAUACCUCUUGGUUCGGAACAACACAGGGAAACUUGUGCUAAUACCGGAUAAGCCCUUACGGGGAAAGAUUUAUCGCCGAGAGAUUGGCCCCGCGUCUGAUUAGCUAGUUGGUGUGGUAAAAGCGCACCAAGGCGACGAUCAGUAGCUGGCUGAGAGGAUGAUCAGCCACAUUGGGACUGAGACACGGCCCAAACUCCUACGGGAGGCAGCAGUGGGGAAUAUUGGACAAUGGCGCAAGCCUGAUCCAGCCAUGCCGCGUGAGUGAUGAA